ACCUCUAUAUCGCUAUAAUAAGCGAUAUAGUGGUUUGAAAUUUACGUGACGUCACAGUGAGCUGCGCCCUCCCUUCUCCUUACUUUUUCCUGUGUCAUUGAACACAACUCGAGACUUUCGAAACCUCCCACUCAGUAUCGGAUGAAUAACACAGUUUGAUGUUUUGCUUGUUCUGCUGACGGACACGUUAAAGACGUCUGCGCUCCCGUUUCUGUGCAUGUCCAGCAUGAGACAACUGGAAUUCAACCACAUUGAACACCGACUUCAGUUUAUUAGGGAUGGAUGUGCCCUGAAGGACAGCGCUGUGAUGACUAUGUUCUGUCUCUUAUGGCAAAGAAGACAAAUAAAUCACUGGGGUGUUAUCCAAAGUGUAUCAAAUCAGAAAACAAAAGAUAAACAUUUUUCUAAUAAGUGUUUAUAUUUUUAACCAACCAUAAUGAUUACAGAAAUUAACUCUAUUAUCCAUGACACUUAGCAAUGAACCAACUCUAAACAGUUGCAAACCAUCUUUAGUCAAGGGAGGAAAACAUGUAGCUGGUGCAGGUUGUCCUCGUGUUGUCCAGCCUGAAGAUGCAGAUGUCCACCAUGUUGCUGUUGAGGACAUCAUGUGCUGCAGUUCAUCAUGUAUGAUGAGAAGAAAGGCACUGUUAAAGAAUGUUUUGUGUUGUGUAUGAAGCACCACAGAUUGCAGAUAGAACCGAUUUACCAGGUUGAGGGUUUGUACCCUCAUGGUUAACUGCACAUAUUGUUGAAUAGAUAAAAUGUCUUUCUAUUUAAUCUGUAAUAUUUAUGUUGAUAAUCUUCCACAGAUUUGUUGAUAGCAGUCCUAAUCAGGUCUCUCCACUUUCCUCAGUGUGAAAACAUAACUUGAAUUUAAUCAGGCAACUGUUUACAACACUGAUGUGUCAAGAUUAUGAUUAUAUCUAAACUGUCUAAUUCACUGUAAAAUUCCAUAGUUAUUGUUACACAAAUAAAUGUUAAUUUGUGUAACAAUUAUGGGAGAAGCAUUUGUAAAUAGGAUUAGGUGGCACAUUUUCCAUGAUACAACAUUUGAUAUCAAAAUUUGUUGCCAUAUAAAUGGACGACAUGAGUUCACAUGCAUACAAGACUAGGAGAGCAAAGAUAAUGCUGUAUUCAUUGAAUGCAUAACACAUUUCUUUUGUAGUGUAUUGCACGUAUGACAGUGUAUGCAUUUUUUAUUUGAAAUAAUACUAAUCAGAUGACACAUUACUUGCAAUUGUUUUAUUAAUGAACAAAACACUUAACAUGGUUAUGUAAUAUCAUGUCACGUGUUUAUUGAAAAGCCAUCUUCUUGUGUUAGAUGAAAUCACAGUUGCUAAAAUAGCAGUGUGACUGAAAUUGUAGUUCAUGAUCAGUUGGUGUCAACAUCAUAAAGACCACUACAGUAAGAUGCCGCUUAUUCUCCACAACAUUGUAAGGCCCAAUGUCAUCAUUCAAGUACACCAUCUUGGGAAGACAAAGAAUAUAGGGUUAGCAAAAGUUGCAAUAUAAUUAUUGGACUAACAGAGUUAUUUUGAAAUGCAUAGUGUACUAAACAGUGUACAGUGUUGUGUGUCAUAACGGAACUAUUGUGACAGUUGGAAAAAUAUACUAUAGUUGUGUCAAUUGUCUUUACAAUCAUGCUCCAUCAUUAUAGUCAUGUGCGAUAAGUCAACAAGCCAUCAGCUUCAGUCUUUGUCAGCAUGAGAUUCCAUCACCUGUGGGAUGACAUGCAAAAAAAUGACAAGGAGAAAGGUAAAUGUAUGAAAUUAUUGCACAAGCAAACUUCAUUUUAUUAUGCAAUGAUUUGCUUACAGUGAAUAUUGUGUAUGAUAUAAUGUAAUCAGUGUAUAUAUUUCGGAAAAAUUGUCUUGUAUUGUUCACCAUUCAUUUUAGAAAACCAUGAGAAAAGACCUUUCAUGUAAUGUUAUGUCAUCAAGUCAGGACAACGCAGGGAAUUGAACCCUGUCUCCAGUAAACUGGGAAUUCCAUCCGGAGCCUUUAGCUUUUUGACAUCACAAUCCAGGUAUAGCAAAACCCUAUCAUAAAAGCAUUUUUUAGUAAAAGUGGUAGAAUGUUUUCAGUACAUCUGUCCUAUGAAUGUGUCUGCAUUGUGAUUGCAUGGUUGCAAAUUAAGUGUUUGUUAAUAGUUCUUUGAAAUGCUUUUAUGAUUCAGGGAAAAAAACCUUAUGCAAAACACCCAUUUGCAUGAUAUGACAAUACAUCAUAUGUAUCAGCAUGUAUAUUCAAUGUGUGUAUAACAAAAGCAUACUAAAGAGUGCCAUAAGUAGGUGCUAUUUAAGUGCAACUACCAUUGUAAUUGUGUUAUAGAUAAGUGCCUUGGAAAUGCUACUACAUUGUUAGUCUCAAAAGUGUUAGUAUGUGCAGGUACAUAAUUAUGAAAUCUCCUAAAACAUAACAAGAACAAUCUCACCAUAUUCAGGAUUUGUAGUUGAUUGCUUGUCUCACAACCUGGAUGUAAAAGAACAUGCAAUUCCUUCGUGGUCACUAAAAUAUGUUGGCAACACCAAAGUGUCUACAUCAUAACAUGUUGUUUUUAUGUAAAUAUGGUCGAUUAAUGUACCCUUCUCAGUUGUUGCUUGAGUGACAUGUUGGAUAUAUCCUUUGUCUGCCAUAAAGGCAACCAUACUAGAAGAUUUGAAGAUGUUAUCAUUAAAAUCUCCUAUUACAGCAGCUGUUGUAUUUAUUAGAUCUAAACAAUCAGUUAACCUGGUGAGAUUUGCUUUAAAAUGAGACAUAGGAUAUGAUGGCGGUCGAUACACCACUGCUAUCACAAUUCUGAAUGUGGUGUAGUUGUACACCAUACAUUCCAAACUUAAAUGAGGUACCUUGACGAUGUCAUAUUGUAAGGCAUCAUUACUAUACAUGCCAACUCCACCAUGCUGUUGUUGUUGUAUGUCUGCCAAUGUGUGGUUACUAUUACUAUAACUUGAACUUCGUGACUGGUUGUGAAAGUUGUAACCUUGAAUUUUGACACAUUCGCUAACAAAAGUGUCAGGAAGCCAUGUUUCUGUUACAGCAAUACAGUUAAGCUGCAAGGGCUGUGUACAUGAAACCAAAUCUGUAAUG